CAGUAGCCGCGGUAAUACGUAGGGUGCAAGCGUUAAUCGGAAUUACUGGGCGUAAAGCGUGCGCAGGCGGUUCGCUAAGACAGAUGUGAAAUCCCCGGGCUUAACCUGGGAACUGCAUUUGUGACUGGCGGGCUAGAGUAUGGCAGAGGGGGUAGAAUUCCACGUGUAGCAGCGAAAUGCGUAGAGAUGUGGAGGAAUACCGAUGGCGAAGGCAGCCCCCUGGGCCAAUACUGACGCUCAUGCACGAAAGCGUGGGGAGCAAACAGGAUUAGAUACCCCCGUAGUCCCUGUCUCUUAUACA
rnacentral:rRNA from 1 species